AGCUCCUGGAAGCCAAUGAGCAGGCUGACAACCCGUGGGCGGAUGGUGGCCAGGAGCAGGCCCCCCGUGGUGGACAAUUACCUGUGCGGCCAGGGACGGCCAGAUAGGUCAGCGCUCAGCCAGGAAACCGCUUCGCGAGGGCACCACGUGCCUCCCUUCUGGAGGCAGAGUCCGGGGCAAGGUUGUCUUUCUGUAUCUGGGCCGAUGGCCACCUGGUUGCCCUGCCCGUGCCUUCUGAGACGGCCGGCCUUGGCCUCGGCGGGGGUUCAGGGCCCCGUGGCUCUGACCUUCCUCUGAGAGCCAUGAGAGAGGACGCCACUUGCUUCUUUUCAGACUGGAUUUGGGCUUCCCCUGCACGUGAGCUCUCUCGGGAUGGAUCAGAGUCCCCAAGGUGGAGCCUGGACCAGGAUGGAACCCGAGGGCAAGGCCAGGCCUCCAAGCAGUGUUCUUGAGGUCUGACAGAGAACUUGCCCUUGGACUUGUCCAGCAACCUCUGCACCACCCCCUUGUACAGCAGCACCAUCCUGACCAGGCGCCGUUUCAGGCACAGAAGCAGCAUUAAUGAAGGCGGGGGGCGGCUUCUCUGCAUGCCAGGGGCCCUGCAGUGUGGUCGAGCUGCGGGGGAACCUCACUCACGCACCUGCGCCCUGGUGUGAAUUGUGCAGCAGGGCUGCGUCGCUGGCUGCAUCGGAGCCUCCAUAGCCGUGAACUUCGGAGUUGAGAGCUUUGCAGAAAGAAGCCUGUUCCUGCUCGUGGCUCUGCCGUUGUCUUCAUUGUUAGCAAAAUCUCAUCACAACAGAGACCCAGCCCAGGGGGUCAUGGAGUGACGGAACUGAAAACCUCAAGGUUGCCAGCAGCCUCUGUCCCAGACGCGUGUGUAUGAACCACCCUGGUCUCAAUUCACCCGACGUCCCCGGGGCUCAGAGCUCGCUCUGAGAUCCGGUCCCCGAGGCCAGCUUGUGGAGCUGUCACUCUGCGAUGUGAGGCCCCUCACGAGGGCCAUCGGCUUCCGUCGCACCUGCAGACUGGGCUUCUGCUCCUGCGUCAAGUGCACUACUUAGGGAAGAGGAUCCCACGUGUGUGCACAGCCCCUCGCGGCACACAAUGUGCUGCCUUGAUUAAGGCAGUCAGACACUCGCUCUGGAUAUGUGGACAAGGACCAGAGCAGAUGGACUGAAUUAAUCUGUGCUUGCCAGCGCCACUCAGAGCCCUGCAGGGAGCCUGAGCUGCGUGCCAAGCUCUCAGGACUGGCCCCACCACGAGUCACCUCACUGAGGACCGGCCCCAGGGCCCGGGUGACCCCAAUAACCCACGUGGGGGGUUAUGCCUGUGAUGCUGGGUUGCUUUUGUGCUCUUUAAAACGAGGUCCCUAACCGUUUCCUUCUGGGAAGGUUGACAUUCUGUGUGUGUGUAGAGCCCGUUGCUGGGGACUGAGGGGGACACUUAGCAGGGACCUCACGGCCUUGGGGACAAGGGCACUGCUUUCCCCCAGGCUGCUCCUCUCCUGCCCGGCCCUGUAAGCCUCAGCUCCCAUGUUGCUUUGCAGAAGCCUCCCCUUUAAUGUAUUCAUUGGCACACACAGCGCUGGCUCUGUGCCAGGCAGCGUUUUAGGCCCUAGAGGUGCACCACUGAUGAGAGCAGACAGUCAUGCCGAACGCAAGACAGAGGUGACAGCUCUCUGUGCACCUAGCCACCGCCCUGCACCGGGCAGUGAGUGUGGCUGCAUCGUGCAUGUGCAGGGCCCAGUCAGGAAUGGUCUAUGGCAUGAACAGAGAGAGGGAGGACAGCACCAUGAGACAGGGAGUAGCUAAACUACAAUUGCCAUUUGUUCCUAUUGUACAGGUGGCAAAACCUUGCCUGUGCCCACGAUGUACAACAAAGCCCUUGUGAAGUCGUUGGUUCACUGUGUGGGUGGCGAGACAGGUCCUUGGGGAAAUUGUAACCCACCCAGGUGCACACCGGGGGACUUCUGACUCCGAAUCCCCCACCAUUUCUACCCCACAGGAGUGGUUUUUUCCUUAUUAAAAACUUGAGGGAGAGAAUGAGUUGCAGAAACCCAAGGGAGGGAGGGGUCACUCUGGCAGAGAGCCGUGGGGAAGGCUGGUGCUGACGUCUCCACACGAGCUGGGAUUGGGGCCCCGGACAGGUGGGGCUGGCCAGGUGACACUGAGAGAAUGAUGGGACACAAGCCUUGGAAUGGAGCCGGGGUACAUGGGCCAGCCCCGGAGUCCCCAGCCUGGCUCUCCUGAGCACUCGCUGGGGAGUCUCUAAACGCGGGGUUCCCAGGGAGAAGACGGGGCCAGCGCCUGACACAGCUGGUUAAGCUGCUGCUUCGCCAGCCUCCCUUACCGGGGUGCGGCUGGGGGUCUUGGCUUCCCUGCCUCUGACCCAGCGCUCUUUGAGUGCACAGAGCAGCAGAUUUGUUCCAAGGAGAGAAUUCAAAAGACGUGUUUGGGCCCCUGCCACCCACGUGGGAGACCCAGACGGAGUUCCUGGCUCCUGGCUUUGGCCUGGCCCAGCCCUGGCUGCCGCAGUCAUUGGUGGCGUGAACCAGCAGACGGAGGGCCUCUCUCUCACUCUCCCUCCCCCCUCCCUCCCUCUCAGGAAUUCUGCCUUUCACAAAAAAUAAAUAAAUAGGUUGUUAAAAACGAUAAAGGAGAGGUUCCCAGCCUCCAGCCCCAGACCCUUUGACUCAGGAGCUCUGGGGAAGAUCAUUUCUAACGGCUGCAGGGUGUUCCCAAUGCCGGUGCCCACUUUUAAGAUCUAUGAUUCAGCUUGUGCUUACCGGACGCAGUCUUGCAACUCAAAAGCCGCUGGGAGGCGUCUCUGGCUACGCCGAGUCCCAGGUGACCCGGCCCCACUAAGGUGUAUCCCCAAGGGUCUGAGACUCCCAGCCCCCACCCCAGUUUAUCCCCUGCUCCUGCCGGGAAGGGAGGGGCAGCCUGGGUGACUGCGAGCGAGCCGUCUCUCUGUCGGCUGCAGGGGUCUGUGGCUCACUCCCUGGACUUUCUGGAGGGUGGGACUGAUGCGUUUGGCCAGGUUGGCAGGCUGGUCCCGCAUGCCUUGGCAAGCUCAGCCCGGCCAGCCUGGGCCCAGUCCGAGAGCACUUUCUCUAUGUCUCAGGAGUGUCUCGUCCGCGGCCCUUGCCCGUGUAAAGGGCAACAGAUGCAAAUAGUGGUGGUGGAGCCGACUGGGUCUUUCCCUCCAUCAGCCUCUUGUGCCUUUUCCACGCUGUCCUUUGAAACCUGGAUUAAAAGGCGUUAAAAGACAGUGGCUAUUGCUAAGUGAGAUAAGAGGCUGCUACAGGACGCACCAGGCAUUCAAGGGUAUUUCAGAAGGUUCGUGGAAAAUGGAAUUCAGAGAUAGGUUUGUUUUGGUGCAGAAGAUUUUGAAAUCUAUGAAUGUGAGGGGUCUUCAAAACGUUCAUGGACAAUGUGUGUUAUGAAACAAAAACGGUGCAUGGAUUUCCAAGUAUUUUUGUACCAAAUUUUAUUUUACUUAUUUGAAAGGCAGAGUUACAGAGAGGCAGAGGCAGAGAGAGAGAGAUAGAGUCUUUGAUCUGCUGGUUUACCCCCAAGUUGGCUACAAUGGCCAGAGCUGUGCUGAUCCAAAGCCAGGAACCAGGAGCCAGGAGCUUCUUCCGGGUCUCUCAUGUUGAUGCAGGGGCCCAAGGACUUGGGCCAUCUUCCACUGUCUUUCCGGGCACAUUAGCAGAAGUGGAACAGCUGGGACUUGGACAGGUGCUCUUACAGGAGCCAGUGUUGUAGGUGGUGACUUAACCCACGGCACCACAAUGCCGACCCCCAUGUACCCAAACUUUGUACCAACACUUUCUUUUUUUUUUUAAGAUUUAUUUUAUUUAUUUGAAAGACAGAGUUACAGAGAGAGGUAGAAACAGAGAGAGAGGUCUUCCAUCUGCUGGUUCACUCCGUAGAUGGCUGAAACGGCUGGAGCUACACCAAUCCGAAUCCAGGAGCCAGGAGUUUCUUCCGGGUCUCCCACACGGGUGCAGGGGCCCAAGGACUUGGGCCAUCUUCCACAGCUCUCCCAGGCCAUAGCAGAGAGCUAGAUUGGAAGGGAAGCAGCCGGGACUAGAACUGGCACCCACAUGGGAUGCCGGUGCUUCAGGCCAGGGCGUUAACCCUCUGUGCCACAGCGCCGGCCCCUGUACCAACACUUUUUGAAGGGUCCGCGUACUCACCCCACCUGCCAUUCCCUAACUCACAGGGCUCUUCCCGCCCACUCUGAGUCCUCAUCAGGUCCUGUGUCGGGCAAGUGCAUGUCCAAUGUGUUGGCUCAGUGCAGUGACAUUUAAGUGGGACUUGAUCCAUUGAAAAGUUAUACGAGAACAGGCACUCAGCUCAGUGGUUAAGACACAGCUGU